rnacentral:rRNA from 1 species
CGUACGAAACGGGACGACUAACUACCGCACUACGACCGUACGGGAAGGGGGGAUCUUCGGACCUCUCGCUAUCAGAUGAGCCCAUGUCAGAUUAGCUAGUUGGUAGGGUAAAGGCCUACCAAGGCGACGAUCUGUAACUGGUCUGAGAGGAUGAUCAGUCACACUGGAACUGAGACACGGUCCAGACUCCUACGGGAGGCAGCAGUGGGGAAUAUUGGACAAUGGGCGCAAGCCUGAUCCAGCCAUGCCGCGUGUGUGAAGAAGGCCCUUGGGUUGUAAAGCACUUUCAGUGGGGAGAAAGGUCUGGAACCUAAUACGUUUUGGAAUUGAUGUUACCCACAGAAGAAGCACCGGCUAACUCCGUG